AGUGAACGCUGGCGGUAGGCCUAACACAUGCAAGUCGAACGGCAGCACAGUAAGAGCUUGCUCUUACGGGUGGCGAGUGGCGGACGGGUGAGGAAUACAUCGGAAUCUACUUUUUCGUGGGGGAUAACGUAGGGAAACUUACGCUAAUACCGCAUACGACCUACGGGUGAAAGCAGGGGAUCUUCGGACCUUGCGCGAUUGAAUGAGCCGAUGUCGGAUUAGCUAGUUGGCGGGGUAAAGGCCCACCAAGGCGACGAUCCGUAGCUGGUCUGUGAGGAUGAUCAGCCACACUGGAACGGAGACACGGUCCAGACUCCUACGGGAGGCAGCAGUGGGGAAUAUUGGACAAUGGGCGCAAGACUGAUCCAGCCAGACCGCGUGGGUGAAGAAGGCCUUCGGGUUGUAAAGCCCUUUUGUUGGGAAAGAAAAGCAGCAGGUUAAUACCCCGCUGUUCUGACGGUACCCAAAGAAUAAGCACCGGCUAACUUCGUG
rnacentral:rRNA from 1 species